rnacentral:lncRNA from 1 species
UCUUUGAUAAAUAUGUUAAGAUAACAGAAACAUUUCACAAUAUAGGAAAUGCUUAUAAUGUUGGUAUUUCUUUAAUGUGGGCUUAAAGCUAGUACACGACAGAGAUGAUAUGAAGCAAAAGUUCGUAAGAGACUGACUGUUAUGGUGCCAGGAAUUUUGAAAUUCCCAAAAGGCAGCCCGUGAUCAUACAUCAGGUGUCCUGAGGAGUCUGCAUUGUCAGUUCACAUAACCAGAUACCUGAGACGCUGGCUAGAGAGCCUUGGCAAGAAGGGAGGACGUGAUCUAGGAAGUGGGGUGGCUGGUCCGCUCCUGGCUCCGUGGACCGACUUGAAGGACAUCUUCCACAGAAGUCUGGAACUGCCAGCAUCAGCGGUUCCUUUGACACUCAGAACUCAUUUGAAUAAAAAAGUGACUUUGAUCCGAAGAACUUUUUAUCCUCCUGGUUUGCUCCAUACGAUGAAACUCUAGAGAAACUCUGGAACUGUAACUUUCGUGAGAAGUCAGAAAUUAUUUUAUUUUGAAAUCUGAAAUGAGUAUAUUUGCUUCUAAAAAUCUUAUAUGUUUCUCAAAUAUGUAUUUUUAAUACUUAAUGCAGCUGUAAAAUCUAUGUAACAGUGAGUAUUUCAUGAUGAACUUAUCCAAAUCUAAGG